CAUCAAAAAAUAUUAGGAAAGAGAAAUAUGUAAACGGUAUUUUAGACAGUUUUUUAAAUUGUCUAUAUAAAUUACGCCAAUAUUACUAAUUAGCAUUAAAUUUAACAUAAUAAUUUCAGCCUGACAACUAAAGAUCAUUUUUGUAACGUUCUUUAAAAAAUUCUUUCUGUAUGUUACUAUUUAAAUGUUAUAAUAAGAGAACUAUUCGUUCGUUAAAUUGUAUAAAUUGCGUUUUCUAAACUCUAUAAUUAUUAAGUUUUAAAAAUCGCAAGAACUCAACUAUACAUAACGACAUAAUAUUAGCACAAAUGUCUUGUUACAAUUUGAUGAUGCAACGAAAAAUGGCCUACGUCAGAGCAUAUGUUUCCUUCGUUUGUCGCAAGUCAGAAUGAACAGCAUUACUUAUUAUAUAAUGUUAUUUUCUUAUAAACGUGCCGCAAAUGCCACGUGCGCCAUUAAUCUGCCACCGCCGCGCUGUUUGCAUGCAAAUUCUGCCAGAAUUUAUCAGAUCUUACGUCUAUAUGAUUUUAUGACGCAAAUAUCUAUUUUACGAAUAACGUCUUCGCGAAAAUUGAGCACGACGGUAAAUAACGAAGACAACUUUUUUCAGCUUUACAUCGUGCAACAACUGCUGCGCGUUUUAAACGCGCGUGCGUUUAUUUGUUCAUGGCAUAAUAUUUGUUUAUAUUGUCACAUUGAUAAAAGAAAUACAAAAGACAUAAGUAAAAAAUGAAUAAUUAUUAGGCUUAUAAGAGAAGAAUCAAAAAAUCGUUAUAGAAUAUAAUUUAUGAUUUUAUAAAGAAUUAUAUUUUAAAAAACAAUGCCUUUUCCGCUUUUAUUUUUUUUUUCAUUGUUAUAUCUUAUGGAAAAUGCAGACUGUCAAAACAAUUUAAUACUAAGAUACCAGAACCGGUGCGACAUAUGAAAAGUGUAACACAUGGAGAAACUGGGAAAGAUUCUAGCUGGCAUUAGGUCUCCCUAGGCAGAAGCUGUCAAUGACGAUAAACUGAACAAAGUUUAUCAAUAAAUCGUCAUGAAGAAUAAUGACUAUUAAUCUGUCACGAUCAUGACAGCGAUGAAUUCAUGUGACGUGACGAAUGGCGCGGAUGACUCAAGCGCAUAAAUUUCCAUUUCUAGCGCAACUUGUGCGAGGCCGAAGAGCGAGCGCAAUUUCGAUAAGUGGGUUACGAACUAUAUCGCUUCCCGAAUGAUCUUUCGACGAUUGUUUGGCUGCUCCUGCGAUCGGCCGGCGCCGCCAGAGGAUUCUAAUGCUCGCUAGAAAGUGUGGCAUUAAAUUCCCGGCUACGUGCCAAGAAAUCCGCGCAGGGACGCACGCGUUGAAAGAUGUCGGCGCCUUUCGGUUCGGGCGGGGCAGAGAAAAUAAUCAACGUUCCUUAUGAUCUAAUUGCCCUUGCGCGAUUUGGAAAGAAUCUAAAAUCGCGCACAUCUCCAGCUCUCCCUGCGUUUUCCUUGAACUUUGCACUUUGUUCCUAUUUUUCUUUUAAAUAUAUGUAUACCCGUUUAUCGUCGACUACUUGUGAAACCGUGCACCCCGAUUCAGGGAUCUGGAGGGUCAAAGGGUUUGAAAAUUAUAUCUUUAGCAAUUUUUUUGCGAAUUGAAUAAAUGUAUAAAAAUAAAGAGAUAUUCGAGAGACAUUUACAACAUAUAACGAGUAGGAAAAUAAACGUCAAUGAAAGAAAAAUUCUUUAUUUUAUAGAGAUUCACUUGAUAGUGAGACGUGCUGAAGAUUUCUAAUUAAAAUUCGGACUUUGAAAUCAAAGCUAAAAGAUCUAUUGUAAAAAAAAAAAAAAACAAAUUAUACUUUAGCUAUACAUUUCCAUAAAUAUCUGUUCAUAGAAAGCGUAUUUUUCUUCAUAUAUUAUAUGAAUAUGUAUCAGAAGUUCACUUUCGUACAUUUAUUCAGUACGUCAUGAGAAAUUGUAACAAAGAUUUUCAGCAAUUCGAUCCUCUGAUUCACAAGAAAGAUCUAGAAUCUCGCUAGAAGCAUUGUUUUGCCGGAAAGCUUUCGAACUUUGUUACGAAAAAGUUUUCGAGCAAAUAUUUGAAGUUCCAGGAAACAAUCAUCGUGGCACGUAAGAUCUCUCUUCAAGAUUUCUCCGUACGAAUUUAUCGAGGUUGUGUACGCUUUUUUUUAUCAGAACUAUUCAAAUCCUCUCCUACCUAUCCUAUGCUCGAAGCACCCUCCGCCCCGUAUUUUUAAUCGUAUUUCGCUGCGAAUCUCGUUUUUUCUCCGGGAGAAACAAGAUCGAGCGCGCGCUUCAUUAAAUACCUCUCUCGGCCUCGCGGAACCGCGGUACGGUCUAUUUCUGAUGCAUUUUCCUCGCGAUCCCGCACGCGUUUCGCAUUUUAAUCAUAACUUGGAACGUAUUUAUAUCCCCUGGUCAUAAACACGAAAGCUACCGUUCUCACAUUUCUUCCUUCUCGCUGAGCACCUCAUAUAAUUUAAGACGUGUUUGCGCCCGCGAGAUCACCUGCGGCAAUCAAUCUUCGGUAACGUGUUAUUGCCGUCAAUCAUUGUAUCAUCGAUACCUUUUCUCUUGUGUAUAGCCAACACACUUUCGAAAGGAAUUGCCAAUAAACGUUCGCCCGUGUUAUCAUCAAAUCUAAUCUCGUGGAGAAGCUUCUAAGAACGAACGCUUGUUUACUGUUCUCGCAACAGCCUCGACAGUUGCGUGCCGCCAUAUUUUAUUUGAAAUAAAAACAAAUCUUAAAAAAAAAGAACAAUCAAAUAAUUACCGCCUGUCUCCGAUAAUUAACGGAUUUCUCCUUCCCCUCCCUCUCACCGGUGACUUUAUUGGUACCUGGACAAAACGCGGACCUGUUUAACACCCGAAAACCUCGGAUUCUCGCCGGCGCGUCCCUGCUGGGCGGCCACCGGUGGUUAUUUUUGUCUACAAAAUUCCUCCGAAUAUAUCUACAUCGUCCGCAAAAUCUCUACUACACUUCCCCCUCCUCCUGCUAGUCUUUGGAGCCCGCUCCUCGCGGGUCGUAUUGAAUUACAUAUUAAAGCUCGCGCGCGCCGCGAUAAAAAGCGGCCGACAUCGAGAUGUCGAUUCAACAAUAGCGCGUGUCGAUCAGCAAUUCCGGCGUGUCGUCAUUCAAUGCCGGGAAUUGAUGACGAAUUCAUCUCGCGAUGUUUCCUCGCUAACUUGGCACUGAAAAGUGCGACAAUGGAUCGGUCGUCGAGACAAACCCAAUGCUAAUCGAUUUAGAUCCAUUUGCACCAGUGUAGCACGGAAGAAAAAUAUUUAUUAAAACAACUAAGAACGGAUUCAGCAGAUCCGUAGCCGUAACGUAUAACAGCUAGUUUUUUAUGUUAAAGUAACAGAGCUUUAACAGCUGUGAAUAAAAUUAGCAAUUAUAAUUAAGUUGGGCGAUUAAUAAAGACAACAACUCUCUGUGAAAAUCAAUUAAAUAUAUGGAUGUUGAAAUUUUUAAUGAAACAUUAGCUGAGAUGGCGCAUACUUUUAUUUUGAAAUAAAAAAAACUUGUUUCUUGAUUACGUGAGCAAUUCUUUCGGAUGUAAUAUAUUUCUUUGUUGAACGUACUAAAUUAAAAAUGAAAUUAUUAUCUUCUUUGUUACAGAUGUGAAACUCGCGCAGCAAGCUACAGCUUUGCUGAAUCACCCAAUCUAUUUUUUCCCCGUAAGCUCUACUUUCCAUUUUAUCUAAUUCUUAGAACUAGAAGGAGUUGAAUCGCUAAACGGUUCAAGCACUUAAACGCGCGGAUUCUCGAGGCGAAGUUUCCUUUCGCGAAAGUGACAACCGCUUUUCGCGUCUCCCGGAAUGCACGGGAACCGUGGCCGAGGUUUCCUUUACAUAACUCACAUCUAUUCCAAGCUGCGACAGCGUUUACCCGAAACUCUUACCGGACUCUUCGUACAUCGCGCCAGAUUCCGCGUGAAGAAAAAAAUCUCAUGAAAAUCAAUUCUCGCGAGUACGAAACCGCCAAGUGAUAUUUGUCAGUCGAAAACGCGACAAUGCUGCCAUUUCUCAACGAUGCAGUUAAAGAUUACAAUUUUCAUUAAAUAAUUAUGAAUAGUGAACUUAAUUGAUACUGAAAAUGUAUGUUUCUUUAAUUAUUUUGAAUUACAUCUGAAUUAAUCAAGAAUUCAUGACAAUCCUGGAACAACUGGCUUCAAUUAAUCUUCUAAAACCAACGCUGCGUACGAAAUUUAGUUUCGCAAUAAAGCCGAUUCGAGAAACACAUUAAUUUAAUUCCUUUUUUCGCCGAGGAACGUUUUCGCAAAAAUUUCGCGUGACGCAAUCGGGAGCAAAGGGGGAGAAGGGGAUAAUAAUUUUUCCGCAUUGCGGAAUAAUUCUCGUCGGCGUGACGUGUCGCCUAUUUCUGGCCGAUUGUUUGCAACGUUACGAUGCAAACGUUGCGUAUAUAACGCAGCUUUUUGGACGUCCGGAGUGUGUUGUGACGCAUACCGUCGCGGUGGUCAAAGCGUUGCGGAUAGACGGGGCGGCGCGCCGUCGUGUAAAUUUCAAUCGCCACCUCAUCUACACGUCUCGAGAAUGAAGCGGGAAACGUCAUUUCGUUUUUUGGCCGGACGGGCCUGCCCCUAAGUAGACGAUACGUCCCGCUGACUCACGAACCCGUGGCUCAAUUCGAGAAUAACCGUACCGCUUUUUCGCGACACAAACGAUUAUUGUGCUCUACGCCUCGUCUGCAAUUGUUUAUUACGUGCUGCACGACUUAUUUAUGUUACGAAUUAAUCAAAACGAAGGAAUCCGCAAAUCGAUCUAAUUGCAGGUCAUUAUUAAUAGAGCCAAUAUCUUCUAGCUUCGUUGAUAGUAAUUGACUACCAACGACGACUUGGCCUAGUUUCCCGUGACAAUUAGCCGGUUAAACGCCAAGAUAAUAAUUGAGUACGACAACUACACUGCCAGUUAAGUUGCCAAUGAUAGAGCGACAAUAUGAUCGAUCGAUCCCUAACUUGUAUGGAAAAGGGAUAAGCGAAUUCGUAACACUUUUGAACUUUCUUUCCACGUUCAUAAUUGCACGCUGUACGACUUGAUUUACUUCAAUAAAGGAUAUUAUUCUCUUGAACUUUC